CAUCCCGUGGGCCCAACCACGCGACUGUGUAUGUGGGCGACAGAUGGGCACUGGAGUCUGUCGGUCGAGCCAUUCCUCUUCUGCACUCCCCCGCCGAUCUGCAGCUUCUCUCCCCCAAAUCCCUCUCCGGACCGCAGCAUCCUCGCCGCCGUGACCUUCCACGGAGAUGAGGCGCCUUUCUUCGCCUCCCGUCUAAUCCCAUCCCGCCACCGACGGUAGUGAGGGCGCCGGCGCCCACCGUGGGAGGAGGAGGCGUGUGGGGGAUCGCGCAUCGGAACGUCUCCGGCGGCCAAUAGCAGAAUUUUGUUCAAGAAUGAACAUCAGACCACUCACCAUCAUCUUGCCAUGCUAGUUGGUUGAUAAAACUAGAAGUGCACAACGCCCUUAUGAGCAACUGUCGGAAUGCAGAGCUUUUUUGGCCAGAAUCAGCUGCGAGUGGGAAGAAGAAAGCUAGUGAUAAUGAAAGUUUUCGAUGGUCUCUGAGGACGAUUCUUGCGCGAUUUCAGGGGAAAUCGAGAGCCUGAGGUUUCAGCUGGAUGACAAGGUGAAACAACUACACUACUGGAAAAUUGAAGUUGGGAGUUAAACUGACUCUCAAAGUCUCAAGCCCAAGGAGAUGAAAUGCUUGAACACGCAAACCCAGGAGCUCAAAGUCUGGAACAAGGGCUUGGAAAAGAAUUUGCAGAACUUAGUAAAAGCGGGGUCCCAAGGAUCAAAGCAUAGGUGAAAGAUGUUAGGAAGGGGGGAAUUCACAUCAACUACCAAGAGAAAAGACUUGCAGGUUUUCAUCACGUGUCUGCCUAUUAAAGUUGUGUAUAUUUUUUAAAAUUUAAAUCUUCCAAUAUGCAUAUGCUGAAAAUCAUGAAUGUUUUCAUAAUUUUUGAAUUACUUUCUGUUGACUCAGAACGAAAUAAGAGAAAUUAGCUCUUAAGAGUAAAAUGUAUUUGUCUGUUAAUGUGGUUGGCUGUAGUUGUUCUUGCUAAGGGAAAAUUCAGUUUGUAUGCCCACCUUAUAGUGUCUACUUCAUACUGCAGAUAUAGGAACUAGUAAAAGCAGUGUGAGAUUCAGUUCCAAAUCCAAAGCCUUGUACCCCUUCCUUAAAAAAUCUACUGCUUAUAUAUAGUUAAAGGUUGAUCUUAAAUGCAGAUGGUGACAAACUAUGCUAAAUGGUUGAUCAAGAAAUGGGAAGAUUAGGCAUCCAAUAGCAAUAGCAAUAGCACAGAGAUAGGUUCUAAAAAAAAAGCACGGAGAUAAAGCUGACUAGAGGAAACAAUUCCAAAAGUUGGCAAUAGAUGUUGCAUCCGGUACUUGUUUCUGAAGUUACUAAAGGGAGGGAAAAGAAUUGUGUAGAAACAUAUUUGGGCAAGGAGGGUGUAGCGCACGAAUAAUCUGCCACCUACCGUUGCGCCUCUCCUCGCCGCCACUGGCCACCGCAAGCGAGGAAGGCAAUGCCGGCGGCCCCGCACUCCUCCUGGAUGAGCGGCUGCCAUCGGUAACUGCAUGUGAGGAAGGUGACACGGCUGCGAAUCGGCAGUUUUAUUUGCGAGCCAGACUCGCUAGAGCCACGCGUGCCUCUUCGCUGCACGCCUCGGAGAGCGCGGGAGACGGACGGGAUGUCUCAUAACUCCCUUCCCUCUCUCGUGUCACCGUCCACUCCUUCAUUCACACCACUCUCUCACUCUCCUCACCGCUCCUUACUCUCCUCCGAUCGCUCGCCCGCCGCCGCGCCGCCCGCUGACCCCAUCAUCGCCGGAAACAACAAUAUCCAAGACCGGUGGGUGGCCGGCCUCGUGAACUCAGGCAUUGACCUGAUGGCAGCCAUCCGCGCUCCGUCGCCCUUUUGCACCAGGCCCCAUCAUCGGGCCGAUGAGGUGUCGGCUGCUUCGGUUAUGCCGCUGUAUCCGGACCUGGUGGUCCUGGGUUCGGUUGCGCCGCUCGAGGAGACAUCAGAUCAUGAAGACGGAGUGGGACGUAGCCGGUGGAGGAGCGCAUGUCGUGGCUGGCACCGAGGGCGCCGAGGACCUGAUAAACUGCUUGCUCAAAAGGGUGAACCUGCCUGGCAGGAUCGCUGCCAUGAGCCAACCACCUUCACGGGGACGGUCUCUGAGCACCAGCCACGAAGAGGGGGCAUGAGAGCCGUUGUGUUUCUACGUUCAGAUCAAGGACAUGGAGGAUCUCACCAUGCUCAUCAUCCCGCCCAAGUUCACGGAGGUGAUGAAGCAGCGGCUGGUGAUCAAGGCCCCGCGCGUCGUUACACUGUCGGCCAACAAGUGGUGCGAGUUCUGGGUUCAGGUCCAGAACUUCUUGGGUCAGAUGGUCCUUAACCGAGGCUGGCAGUACUUCUGCCGCCGCCACAGGAUCGUCCCCGGCGACCUCCUCGUCUUGUGAAUCUUCGGGCUUGGCCUCAAGGUGCAGAUCUACAACCACGACAACUCGAUCAUGUGCAGGGGUGCGCUGCAACAAGCACAACUGCAUUGGCAACAUUUCUCUCGCGCUCUAGAAGUCUUAAGUAUAAACAUGUUAGUAGUUUGUGUUGAUGAUGUGAACUAGUGCUGCAAACUUGUUUAUAUUUUGCCAGGAUCAACACGUGAUGUGAAGUAGGGGGCAUGGGAUGCCCCUGUUGUCUUAAACCUUAAACCCUACUAUUAGUAUGCAUGGUUAUCAGUGGUUGUUUAUCUGUUGUUGUGUUGUUAAUUAGGUAGUUUGUUCUUAUGCUAUGCUUGUUGUGCUACAAAUGUGAUGGUAAGGUCACCGAAUUUAAAAGGGAUGAGCAGAACACCAACGUGCACGCAGCCAAACAGGUAUGAUGUGCAUCUGCCGACUUCUA